AGGGCGGGGCGUCUGAUCGCGGCAGACCUAAGAUUCUGGUCCGCUGAGGAAAGUCCGGGCUCCAUAGGACAGGGUGCCAGCUAACGGCUGGGCGUGUAAGGCGACGGCAAGUGCAACAGAAAGCAAACCGCCGGACCGGAAUGCCUUCUGGCUCCGACCCGGUAAGGGUGAAACGGUGCGGUAAUAGCGCACCAGUACCAGUGGAGACACAGGUAGCUAGGUAAACCCCACCCGGAGCAAGGUCCGACAGGGCGCGAGGGCUGGUCCGGCUCGAUUUAGUCCCCAAAGUGACCGCUCGAGAUCUACGGCGACGCAGGUCCCAGACAGAUGAUCGGACCCCACAUUGUGGGUGACAGAACCCGGCUUAUAGCCCCACCUGCUAC
rnacentral:RNase_P_RNA from 1 species